AAACUCCUUAUCUUUCUGUGGUUUUUUCUUGGUUAACAUAAAAGUUAGUUAGGUACCUACCUACCUACUCUUUGGGAUUUCUCUGCUUCCAUGUUAAACCGGAGGUUGUUCCUCAUUUCCUGAAUGUUAAAGUUUUCAAAAGUGAAAAUCUUUGGUCGGUGGUAGUCGAGACCUUUAUAAAAUAUUUGUUCUUCCUUUAUGAUGUUGAUUUUCAUGAGAUGUACAUAACUCAGAUAUGUUUCUUUCUUUCUUGUCAUAACAUAAAUUCAGUUCUAUGUUAAAACUUUGAUAGCACGAGUGGAGAAACAAACAACUUUAUUAUAAACAGAAGAGAAAAACCCCAAAAACAACUUUCCAAAAGGCCACUUUUUGAUAUUCCAAUGUUCUUGUGGCUUAAAUACCAUCCAAAGCUGUUGUUGUCCUUAUUGAAAAGUAUGGAAAAUACUCUGUGUUUUUAUCUCGACAUGUGCUUAUUAUCCUUAUGAUUAUGAACACAAACACCCGCACACACACCAAACACACAAAAUCAGAUGGAAAAUCUCUCCAAAAAAGGAAUAUUAAUCCCGAAUUCCAAAUAUAAAACGAUGGGAAAUAAAUUUCUAUACGCAUGUUCAUAUUUCCAGAAUUUCCAUUGUAAAAAGGACAUUUCUUUGGUUUCCCCUUCAAGGAUGGGGCGAUAUGAUGUGAAGAUGGAGAAAUCUCUACAAGAUCCACAAUUUAUUUUCUUCCACAUUUAUUUUCCAUCAUACUGGAAAAGAAAACAUGCAGCGGCAAAUUUCCCGCUUCAAUUUUCCAACACUACCACCACACCCACCCACCCAUUCCGUGACUCCACCACAAUGAAUUGUGGAUAAGGGUAAUUUUUUUGAUCCUGGCGCCAAAAAUCGAACAUCACAAGCCAACAAUUGAAUUUGAAGUUGGAAAUCAGAAAAUUAAAAAAAAAAAAAAUAAGACCACCGCAAAGUCAGAAAACUUGUAGGUAUCCAUGAUGAUGUGAAUCCUAGAAUUUCAGCUUGCUGAUGGUGGAUGCUAUUUUGUAAAGUUGGGGCGCAUGGAGCAAUAUAUAUGUAUUUUUGUUUUAUUUUAUUCGACGAAACAAAAAAAUAUCCUUCAAUGUGUUUUGGGAAAUUCAAUAGCUCAGCAUCCCCAGUAACCGUCUGAUGCUUAAGGCGCUCGCAUCAACUUAACGAACGACGAACGAACAAACGACCGUCCUCGUCGACGACGAAUCCUUGACAUUUCUUUCGGUAGCGUUCUGGUCAGUUUCGCAUCUCGUAGAUUUGCGCGAACCGUGGGAAUUUUAUUCACCCUUUCAAUUGAGAGAAAAAAAGAAAUAAAUGGAAAAUUGAAAUAGGGUCCUGCUAAAGGAUAAUUUAAUUAGCAAAGUGAUUUAUAAAUCAAUUAAAAAAAUUAUUUAGUGAUUGUGAAAUUCAUCAAUUGUGAAAAUAUCAAUUAUAUAGUAGUGAGUCGGAAAAUAUAUAUUUUAUGAAAAUUAAAAUAAAAAAUAUCCACUUAAUAUGUUCACAUGAUUGCACGUGUGCUCUGAAAUAGCUUUCCCAUGAUUGGUAUCAAAAUCAAAUCAAAUUAAAUCAUAUAUUGAGUUCUGGAGAAAAAAAAUAUAAAUAUACUUUUUUUUUGUAUGAAAUUUUGUUAUUUUUCGGGAAUAAAGUUUGUGUAUUUUUAUUUAUUUAGUGAAUUUUUAAUUAGAUUCAACUUUUACACAGCAAAGGAUAGGAAAGGAAGGAUACGCGUUUAUAACACUGCUGCCCAUCAUACAAUCCUAAAAAGUAUGAUGACAUAACCUCAACAAUUAUUCUUAAUAGGACAUGCAAAUGUAAUGUCAAAUAUAGGAACAAAAAACAAAAACAAGGACAUAUCUUUCCAAGUGAUUUUGUGUGGUAAACUAAAUAUAUCUGUGAAUAAAAUUUAACCAAAAUACCUGACAAAAAAAAAACAAUAUGUAAAUCGCCAUGACACUCAAUUUCUGUGUGAUAGGCAGAUCUAGAAACAGCUAAAACAACAAAAGAAAGAAAAAAUAGAAAUAGAUAUAGAAAGAAUAGAAAAAUAUCCUAUAUAUAAAGUGUACAACAUUAAUAGUCCUUGUAAGGCAGGGACUUUACUGCUAUGAUAGAGUUGAAUGUUAGGGAACCAGAACAAGGUAUCAAUAAAAAAAACAAAAAGAAA